UACGUAGGGUCCGAGCGUUGUCCGGAAUUAUUGGGCGUAAAGGGCUCGUAGGCGGUUUGUCGCGUCGGGAGUGAAAACACGGGGCUUAACCCCGUGCCUGCUUCCGAUACGGGCAGACUAGAGGUAUGCAGGGGGAGAACGGAAUUCCUGGUGUAGCGGUGAAAUGCGCAGAUAUCAGGAGGAACACCGAUGGCGAAGGCAGGUCUCUGGGCCACUACUGACGCUGAGAAGCGAAAGCAUGGGGAGCGAACAGG
rnacentral:rRNA from 1 species